UACGGAGGGUGCAAGCGUUGUCCGGAUUUAUUGGGUUUAAAGGGUGCGUAGGCGGCCAUAUAAGUCAGUGGUGAAACCCUUGGGCUUAACCCAAGGAGUGCCAUUGAUACUGUAUGGCUUGGGUUAUCUCUGGGCGGGCGGAAUGGAUGGUGUAGCGGUGAAAUGCGCAGAUAUCAGGAGGAACACCAAUGGCGAAGGCAACUCGCUGGGACGGUACUGACGCUGAGACGCGAAAGCGUGGGGAGCAAACAGG
rnacentral:rRNA from 1 species